rnacentral:snRNA from 2 species
GAACCCUGGCAGGGGAGAUACCAUGAUCACGAAGGUGGUUUUCCCAGGGCGAGGCUUAUCCAUUGCACUCCGGAUGUGCUGACCCCUGCGAUUUCCCCAAAUGUGGGAAACUCGACUGCAUAAUUUGUGGUAGUGGGGGACUGCGUUCGCGCUUUCCCCUG